rnacentral:rRNA from 1 species
CCCUUUGGGGUGUGACUGCGUACCUUUUGUAUAAUGGGUCAGCGACUUAUAUUCUGUAGCAAGGUUAACCGAAUAGGGGAGCCGGAGGGAAACCGAGUCUUAACCGGGCGUUAAGUUGCAGGGUAUAGACCCGAAACCCGGUGAUCUAGCCAUGGGCAGGUUGAAGGUUGGGUAACACUAACUGGAGGACCGAACCGACUAAUGUUGAAAAAUUAGCGGAUGACCUGUGGCUGGGGGUGAAAGGCCAAUCAAACCGGGAGAUAGCUGGUUCUCCCCGAAAGCUAUUUAGGUAGCGCCUCGUGAAUUCAUCUCCGGGGGUAGAGCACUGUUUCGGCUAGGGGGCCAUCCCGGCUUACCAACCCGAUGCAAACUGCGAAUACCGGAGAAUGUUAUCACGGGAGACACACGGCGGGUGCUAACGUCCGUCGUGAAGAGGGAAACAACCCAGACCGCCAGCUAAGGUCCCAAAGUCAUGGUUAAGUGGGAAACGAUGUGGGAAGGCCCAGACAGCCAGGAUGUUGGCUUAGAAGCAGCCAUCAUUUAAAGAAAGCGUAAUAGCUCACUGGUCGAGUCGGCCUGCGCGGAAGAUGUAACGGGGCUAAACCAUGCACCGAAGCUGCGGCAGCGACGCU